rnacentral:rRNA from 1 species
GUGCUAAGUGUUGGAGGGUUUCCGCCCUUCAGUGCUGCAGCUAACGCAUUAAGCACUCCGCCUGGGGAGUACGACCGCAAGGUUGAAACUCAAAGGAAUUGACGGGGGCCCGCACAAGCGGUGGAGCAUGUGGUUUAAUUCGAAGCAACGCGAAGAACCUUACCAGGUCUUGACAUCCUUUGACCACUCUAGAGAUAGAGCUUCCCCUUCGGGGGCAAAGUGACAGGUGGUGCAUGGUUGUCGUCAGCUCGUGUCGUGAGAUGUUGGGUUAAGUCCCGCAACGAGCGCAACCCUUAUUGUUAGUUGCCAUCAUUNAGUUGGGCACUCUAGCAAGACUGCCGGUGACAAACCGGAGGAAGGUGGGGAUGACGUCAAAUCAUCAUGCCCCUUAUGACCUGGGCUACACACGUGCUACAAUGGGAAGUACAACGAGUUGCGAAGUCGCGAGGCUAAGCUAAUCUCUUAAAGCUUCUCUCAGUUCGGAUUGCAGGCUGCAACUCGCCUGCAUGAAG